rnacentral:rRNA from 1 species
UGCAUAUCCAAAAAGCGGAGGAAAAGAAACUAACAAGGAUUCCCCUAGUAACGGCGAGUGAGAGGGAAAGCCCAAAUUUGUAAUCUGGCUCUUUUAUAAGGGUCCGAGUUGUAAUUUUGAGAACUGUUUUCUGUGCUGGACCAUGUACAAGUCUGUUGAAAAACAGCAUCAUUGAGGGUGAUAAUCCCGUACGUGAUAUGGACUACCAGGGCAAUAUGAUACAGUCUCUAAGAGUCGAGUUGUUUGGGAAUGCAGCUCAAAGUGGGUGGUAAAUUCCAUCUAAGGCUAAAUAUAGGUGAGAGACCGAUAGCAAACAAGUACCGUGAGGGAAAGAUGAAAAGAACUUUGGAAAGAGAGUUAACAGUACGUGAAAUUGUUAAAAGGGAAACAUUUGAAGUUAGACUUGUUAUUGUUGGUUCAGCUUCUUUAUUGAGGUGUAUUCUGAUGAUUAACAGACCAGCAUCAAUUUUUGGGUGUUGGAUAAGGGUUUUGGGAAUGUGGCAGCUUCGGUUGUGUUAUAGACCAUUACUUUGAUACAAUGCUUAGGAUUGAGGAACGCAGUAAGCUUUGUUGCAGAUUUCUUYGGAAGUCUCCUURCUACGGAUGUUGGUGCAAUAGCUUUAAAUGACCCGUCUUGAAACACGGACCCA